AGAGUUUGAUCCUGGCUCAGGAUGAACGCUGGCGGCGUGCCUAAUACAUGCAAGUCGAGCGAACAGACGAGAAGCUUGCUUCUCUGAUGUUAGCGGCGGACGGGUGAGUAACACGUGGAUAACCUACCUAUAAGACUGGGAUAACUUCGGGAAACCGGAGCUAAUACCGAAUAAUAUUUUGAACCGCAUGGUUCAAAAGUGAAAGACGGUCUUGCUGUCACUUAUAGAUGGAUCCGCGCUGCAUUAGCUAGUUGGUAAGGUAACGGCUUACCAAGUCAACGAUGCAUAGCCGACCUGAGAGGGUGAUCGGCCACACUGGAACUGAGACACGGUCCAGACUCCUACGGGAGGCAGCAGUAGGGAAUCUUCCGCAAUAGGCGAAAGCCUGACGGAGCAACGCCGCGUGAGUGAUGAAGGUCUUCGGAUCGUAAAACUCUGUUAUUAGGGAAGAACAUAUGUGUAAGUAACUGUGCACAUCUUGACGGUACCUAAUCAGAAAGCCACGGCUAACUACGUGCCAGCAGCCGCGGUAAUACGUAGGUGGCAAGCGUUAUCCGGAAUUAUUGGGCGUAAAGCGCGCGUAGGCGGUUUUUUAAGUCUGAUGUGAAAGCCCACGGCUCAACCGUGGAGGGUCAUUGGAAACUGGAAAACUUGAGUGCAGAAGAGGAAAGUGGAAUUCCAUGUGUAGCGGUGAAAUGCGCAGAGAUAUGGAGGAACACCAGUGGCGAAGGCGACUUUCUGGUCUGUAACUGACGCUGAUGUGCGAAAGCGUGGGGAUCAAACAGGAUUAGAUACCCUGGUAGUCCACGCCGUAAACGAUGAGUGCUAAGUGUUAGGGGGUUUCCGCCCCUUAGUGCUGCAGCUAACGCAUUAAGCACUCCGCCUGGGGAGUACGACCGCAAGGUUGAAACUCAAAGGAAUUGACGGGGACCCGCACAAGCGGUGGAGCAUGUGGUUUAAUUCGAAGCAACGCGAAGAACCUUACCAAAUCUUGACAUCCUUUGACAACUCUAGAGAUAGAGCCUUCCCCUUCGGGGGACAAAGUGACAGGUGGUGCAUGGUUGUCGUCAGCUCGUGUCGUGAGAUGUUGGGUUAAGUCCCGCAACGAGCGCAACCCUUAAGCUUAGUUGCCAUCAUUAAGUUGGGCACUCUAAGUUGACUGCCGGUGACAAACCGGAGGAAGGUGGGGAUGACGUCAAAUCAUCAUGCCCCUUAUGAUUUGGGCUACACACGUGCUACAAUGGACAAUACAAAGGGCAGCGAAACCGCGAGGUCAAGCAAAUCCCAUAAAGUUGUUCUCAGUUCGGAUUGUAGUCUGCAACUCGACUACAUGAAGCUGGAAUCGCUAGUAAUCGUAGAUCAGCAUGCUACGGUGAAUACGUUCCCGGGUCUUGUACACACCGCCCGUCACACCACGAGAGUUUGUAACACCCGAAGCCGGUGGAGUAACCUUUUAGGAGCUAGCCGUCGAAGGUGGGACAAAUGAUUGGGGUGAAGUCGUAACAAGGUAGCCGUAUCGGAAGGUGCGGCUGGAUCACCU
rnacentral:rRNA from 1 species